rnacentral:lncRNA from 1 species
CAUGUCGCAACUAACAAUUUAGUAAAAAUAAUUUGUCGAUAAGUUAUACGGUUUUUGAAAAUAAGUGAAAAUAAGCCAAAAUCAAAAUUUAGAAUAUGACCUUGACCUUUGACCUUGACCUUAUUUUCAUUUUUUUGGACCAAGGAUCUCAAAUCAAAAGACCCUAGGUCUCUAUCACUUAUGGUUUACCAGUUAGAAAUGCAUAUUCACUUAUAUCAAACAUAAAAGGGGGAAUAACUCUCAUAUGGAGUCUCCGGAUAUAGCUUCGGUCAAAAUAAAACAGAACAUCCUGAAGGAUAUAACGAGCAAUUUGGAAAAAUAAAUUUGUCGGUUUCUUAUACGGUUGCGAAGGAGUUAGUGGCCACAAGAAAAACAGUGUUCGGGGAGAUAACUCUUACAACGGUAAAGUAUUUUGUUACGCGUUUGUCAAUUUUUAAAGCGUAUAAACUGUUCGAUAUCAUAUUCCAAAUAUCUAAGCGACAUCUUGCGAAACAAAAAAACAGCAAGGAAAAAAAUUAGGCGGAAGAAAAAAAAAAAAAAAUAAUAAUAAUAAAAACCAAUUGUUCAGAAGAACAAUUGAAGGUCUUUCCAACCAAUAAGGAUCUAUUUUGAUAUGAAAAUAUAUUAAAAAUUCAGUUGAAAAUGUCAGUUCCUAUGGCUUAAUGAUGUAUAAAUAUGAAUUUUGAAGCAAAGGUCAAAAUCUAGAACGUCCAAUUUAACCUAUGACCUUGACUACAAUUUCAAGGUCAUAAACCAAGGACAUCCCAAAUCAAAAAGACCCUAGGUCUGUAAUAUGUAUGGUUAAUGAGUAAUAUCACUUUACGCAUAAUUCUUAAAUAUAAGAGGGGCAAAAACUCCCAUUUAUUGUCUAGUCACCCUUUCACUAUAAAUAUAGUAAGUUACGACAGAUCGCAACUAACAAUUUAGUAAAAAAUAUUUGUGAAUAUCUUAUAAGGUUAAUUGAAAAUAAGUGAAAAUAAGCCAAAAUCAAAAUUUAGAAUAUGACCUUGACCUUUGACCUUGACCUAAUUUUCAUUUUUUUGGACCAAGGAUCUCAAAUCAAAAGACCCUAGGUCUCUAUCACUUAUGGUUUACCAGUUAGAAAUGCAUAUUCACUUAUUUCAAAAUACAAAAGGGGGAAUAACUCUCAUAUGGAGUCUCCGGAUAGCUUCGGUCAAAAUAAAACAGAACAUCCUGAGGAUAUAACGAGCAAUUUGGAAAAAUAAAUUUGUCGGUAAUCUUUUACGGUUGCGAAGGAGUAAGUGGCCACAAGAAAAACAGUGUUUGGGGAGAUAACUCUUACAAGGUAAAGUAUUUGGUUACGCGGUUCAGUUUCAAAAGCGCAUAAACUGUUCGAUAUCAUAUUCCAAAUACUUAACGCACAUCUUGUGAAACAAAAAAACACGCAAGGAAAAAAAGUUAGGCGGAAGAAAAAAAAAUAAAAAAAAUAAUAAAAACCAAUUGUUCAAAGAACAAUUGAAGGUCUUUCCAACCAAUAAAGGAUCUAUUUUGAUAUGAAAAUAUUAAAAAUUCAGUUGAAAAUGUCAGUUCCUAUGGCUUUAUGAUGUAUAAAUAUGAAUUUAAAGCAAAGGUCAAAAUCUAGAACGUCCAAUUAACCUAUGACCUUGACCUCAAUUUCAAGGUCAUAACCAAGGACCUCAAAUCAAAAAGACCUAGGUCUGUAAUAUGUAUGGUUCAUGAGUAAUAUCACUUUACGCAUAAUUCUAAAUAUAAGAGGGGCGAAAACUCCCAUUUAUUGUUUACGCACCCUUCAACCAAAAUUUAUAAGUUACGACAUGUCGCAACUAACAAUUUAGUAAAAAUAAUUUGUCGAUAUCUUAUAAGGUUAAUGAAAAUAAGUGAAAAUAAGCCAAAAUCAAAAUUUUAGAAUAUUGACCUUGACCUUUGACCUUGACCUAAUUUUCAUUUUUUUGGACCAAGGAUCUUAAAUCAAAAGACCCUAGGUCUCUAUCACUUAUGGUUUACCAGUUAGAAAUGCAUAUCACUUAUAUCAUAUAUAAAAGGGGGGAAUAACUCUCAUAUGGAGUCUCCGGAUAGCUUCGGUCAAAAAAUGAAAUCCUAAUCCUGAAGGAUAUAACGAGCAAUUUGGCAAAAUAAAUUUGUCGUAAUCUUUUACGGUUGCGAAGGAGUAGUGGCCACAAGAAAAACAGUGUUUGGGGAGAUAACUCUUACAAGGUAAAGUAUUUUGUUACGCGGUUGUCAGUUUCAGAAGCGUAUUAACUGUUCGAUAUCAUAUUCCAAAUAUCUAAGCGACAUCUUGUGAAACAAAAAAACAGCCAAGGAAAAAAAAGUUGGCGGAAGAAAAAAAAAAAUAAUAAUAAUAAUUAAAAAACCAAUUGUUCAGAAGAACAAUUGAAGGUCUUUCCAACCAAUAAGGAGAUCUAUUUUGAUAUGAAAAUAUUAAAAUUCAGUUUAAAAAUGUCAGUUCCUAUGGCUUUAUGAUGUAUUUAAUAUGAAUUUAAAGCAAAGGUCAAAAUCUAGAACGUCCAAUUAACCUAUGACCUUGACCUCAAUUUCAAGGUCAUAAACAAAGGAUCCUCAAAUCAAAAGACCCUAGGUCUUUAAUAUGUAUGGUUCAUGAGUAAUAUCACUUUACGCAUAAUUCUAAAUAUAAGAGGGGCAAAAACUCCCAUUUAUUGUCUACGCACCCUUUCAACCAAAAUUUAUAAGUUACGACAUGUCGCAACUAACAAUUUAGUAAAAAUAAUUUGUCGAUAUCUUAUAAGGUAUUUGAAAAUAAGUGAAAAUAAGCCAAAAUCAAAAUUUAGAAUUUGACCUUGACCUUUGACCUUGACCUAAUUUUCAUUUUUUUGGACCAAGGAUCUUAAAUCAAAAGACCCUAGGUCUCUAUCACUUAUGGUUUACCAGUUAGAAAUGCAUAUCACUUAUAUCAAAUAUAAAAGGGGGAAUAACUCUCAUAUGGAGUCUCCGGAUAGCUUCGGUCAAAUGAAACAGAACAUCCUGAAGGAUGUAACGAGCAAUUUGGUAAAAAUAAAUUUGUCGUUUCUUUUACGGUUGCGAAGGAGUAGUGGCCACAAGAAAAACAGUGUUUGGGGAGAUAACUCUUACAAGGUAAAGUAUUUUGUUACGCGGUUGUCAAUUUUUAGAAGCGUAUAAACUGUUCGAUAUCAUAUACCAAAUAUCUAAGCGACAUCUUUUGAAACAUCAAAAACGCAAGGAAAAAAAAUUAGGCGGAAGAAAAAAAAAAAAUAAUAAUAGAACAAAUAAGGUCUUUCAAAAAAAGACCUAAUAAUAAUUAAAAACCAAUUGUUCAAAGAACAAUUGAAGGUCUUUCAACCAAUAAGGAUCUAUUUUGAUAUGAAAAUAUUAAAAUUCAGUUGAAAAUGUCAGUUCCUAUGGCUUUAUGAUGUAUAAAUAUGAAUUUCGAAGCAAAGGUCAAAAUCUAGAACGUCCAAUUAACCUAUGACCUUGACCUCAAUUUCAAGGUCAUAGACUAAGGAUCUCAAAUCAAAAGACACUAGUUCCUUAAUAUGUAUGGUUCAUGAGUAAUAUCACUUUACGCAUAAUUCUAAAUAUAAGAGGGGCGAAAAACUCCCAUUUAUUGUCUACGCACCCUUGCAACCAAAAUUUAUAAGUUACGACAUGUCGCAACUAACAAUUUAGUAAAAAUAAUUUGUCGAUAUCUUAUAAAGGUUAAUGAAAAUAAGUGAAAAUAAGCCAAAAUCAAAAUUUAGAAUUUGACCUUGACCUUUGACCUUGACCUAAUUUUCAUUUUUUUGGACCAAGGAUCUUAAAUCAAAAAGACCCUAGGUCUCUAUCACUUAUGGUUUACCAGUUAGAAAUGCAUAUCACUUAUAUCAUAUAUAAAAGGGGGAUAACUCUCAUAUGGAGUCUCCGGAUAGCUUCGGUCAAAAUGAAACAGAACAUCCUGAGGAUAUAACGAGCAAUUUGGAAAAAUAAAUUUGUCGGUUUCUUAUACGGUUGCGAAGGAGUAGUGGCCACAAGAAAAACAGUGUUCGGGGAGAUAACUCUUACAAGGUAAAGUUUUUUGUUACGCGGUGUCAGUUUCAGAAGCGUAUUAACUGUUCGAUAUCAUAUACCAAAUAUCUAAGCGACAUCUUGUGAAACAAAAAAACAGCGAAGGAAAAAAAAGUUGGCGGAAGAAAAAAAAAAAAAAUAAUAAUAAAACCAAUUGUUCAAAGAACAAUUGAAGGUCUUUCAACCAAUAAGGAUCUAUUUAGAUAUGAAAAUAUUAAAAUUCAGUUGAAAAUGUCAGUUCCUAUGGCUUAAUGAUGUAUAAAUAUGAAUUUUAAGCAAAGGUCAAAAUCUAGAACGUCCAAUUAACCUAUGACCUUGACCUCAAUUUCAAGGUCAUAGACUAAACAUCUCAAAUAAAAAGACACUAGUUCCUUAAUAUGUAUGGUUCAUGAGUAAAAUCACUUUACGCAUAAUUCUUAAUAUAAGAGGGGCGAAAACUCCCUUUUAUUGUUUACGCACCCUUGCAACCAAAAUUUAUAAGUUACGACAUGUCGCAACUAACAAUUUAGUAAAAAAAAAUUGUCGAUAUCUUAUAAGGUUAAUGAAAAAAGGUGAAAAUAAGCCAAAAUCAAAAUUUAGAAUUUGACCUUGACCUUUGACCUUGACCUAAUUUUCAUUUUUUUGGACCAAGGAUCUUAAAUCAAAAGACCCUAGGUCUCUAUCACUUAUAGUUUACCAGUUAGAAAUGCAUAUCACUGAUAUCAUAUAUAAAAGGGGGGAUAACUCUCAUAUGGAGUCUCCGGAUAGCUUCGGUUGAAAUGAAACAGAACAUCCUAAGGAUAUAACGAGCAAUUUGGAAAAAUAAAUUUGUCGGUUUCUUAUACGGUUGCGAAGGAGUAGUGGCCACAAGAAAAACAGUGUUUGGGGAGAUAACUCUUACAAGGUAAAGGUUUUUGUUACGCGGUGUCAGUUUCAGAAGCGCAUUAACUGUUCGAUAUCAUAUACCAAAUAUCUAAGCGACAUCUUGUGAAACAAAAAAACAGCGAAGGAAAAAAAAGUUGGCGGAAGAAAAAAAAAAAAAAAAAUAAU